GGAUGAAGACCAAAAGUAGAAGCAAUUAAGAGCAUGACAACAUACUGAAAGACAUAAAACAGAUGAGAAAAACUAGAUUGACUGAUUGAAUACCUUCUUCCCCCUCUCUAUGUAUUUGACUGCAACAAGCUCCUUGGUCUUCUUAUCUCUGACUAGUUUUGCUACUCCAAAAUUCCCAGUCCCAAGUUCCUUCAAUGGCUCGUAACGCUAUUCCAUCCCAACCCAACCGUCAAAAGGAUUCCAAAUAACAGCAGGGAAAAACU